rnacentral:rRNA from 1 species
AGAUGAACGCUGGCGGCAGGCCUAACACAUGCAAGUCGAGCGGAUGAAGGGAGCUUGCUCCUGGAUUCAGCGGCGGACGGGUGAGUAAUGCCUAGGAAUCUGCCUGGUAGUGGGGGAUAACGUCCGGAAACGGGCGCUAAUACCGCAUACGUCCUGAGGGAGAAAGUGGGGGAUCUUCGGACCUCACGCUAUCAGAUGAGCCUAGGUCGGAUUAGCUAGUUGGUGGGGUAAAGGCCUACCAAGGCGACGAUCCGUAACUGGUCUGAGAGGAUGAUCAGUCACACUGGAACUGAGACACGGUCCAGACUCCUACGGGAGGCAGCAGUGGGGAAUAUUGGACAAUGGGCGAAAGCCUGAUCCAGCCAUGCCGCGUGUGUGAAGAAGGUCUUCGGAUUGUAAAGCACUUUAAGUUGGGAGGAAGGGCAGUAAGUUAAUACCUUGCUGUUUUGACGUUACCAACAGAAUAAGCACCGGCUAACUUCGUGCCAGCAGCCGCGGUAAUACGAAGGGUGCAAGCGUUAAUCGGAAUUACUGGGCGUAAAGCGCGCGUAGGUGGUUCAGCAAGUUGGAUGUGAAAUCCCCGGGCUCAACCUGGGAACUGCAUCCAAAACUACUGAGCUAGAGUACGGUAGAGGGUGGUGGAAUUUCCUGUGUAGCGGUGAAAUGCGUAGAUAUAGGAAGGAACACCAGUGGCGAAGGCGACCACCUGGACUGAUACUGACACUGAGGUGCGAAAGCGUGGGGAGCAAACAGGAUUAGAUACCCUGGUAGUCCACGCCGUAAACGAUGUCGACUAGCCGUUGGGAUCCUUGAGAUCUUAGUGGCGCAGCUAACGCGAUAAGUCGACCGC